CCUACGGGCGGCUGCAGUAGGGAAUAUUGCUCAAUGGGGGAAACCCUGAAGCAGCAACGCCGCGUGAGGGAAGAAGGUUUUCGGUAUGUAAACCCCUUUUGGUAGAGAAGAAAAUGACGGUACCUGACGAAUAAGCACCGGCUAACUACGUGCCAGCAGCCGCGGUAAUACGGAGGGGGCAAGCGUUACACGGAAUUACUGGGCGUAAAGGGCGCGUAGGCGGGAUAGCAAGUCAGAUGUGAAAUGCUAUGGCUUAACCAUAGAACUGCAUUUGAAACUGUUAUUCUAGAGUAUGGGAGAGGUAGGUGGAAUUCGUGGUGUAGCGGUGAAAUCCGUAGAUAUCAAGAGGAAUACUGAUUGCGAAGGCGGCCUACUGGAACAUAACUGACGCUGAUGCACGAAAGCGUGGGUAGCAAACAGGAUUAGAUACCCCGGUAGUC
rnacentral:rRNA from 1 species